rnacentral:lncRNA from 1 species
UUGAAGUGAUUUUAUUUUUGCUUUUGUUUGUCUUCUAUAUUAUAGUUUGCCUUGUCAUUAUUACUUUGAAUACGUCCAUUUAUUUAUUUUCAAAUUUCUGUGAUCACUAGACUUCACACUGCAUGCAUUAAGAAUGAAUUUGUAAAAACAUCUGAAAUUAAAAUUACAAAAUCCCAAUAAAUUAUACUGAGGAACAUUUUCGUUAUAUAUCUAUUGUAUAUAUAUUUAUAUAUUUAUAUAUUGUGUGCAUUGUAAGCAUUUAAACAGCCAGCAUUGAGAUAAGAAAUUUCUACUCAUUUUUUUUCUAGAGUAGAUAAGAUACUAUCUGGUAGGUGAGGUAGUGGAAUAUAUGCCUUUAAUCUCACCUACUCAGGAGGCUGAGGCAGGAGGAUCUCAAGUUCAAGGCCAGCCUAGGCAACUUAGUGAGUCCCUAUCACAAAAACAAACAAACAAACAAAAACAAUUGGCUGUUAGGUUUUAUGGAAUAUUUGAUCAAUGGCAUGAACUCUCAGAUCGACAUUUGAAAAAUGCAUGACAUUAAAUUUAUAAUAGACACUGGUAUACAUAGGUUAGGAUUCAUGGGUAGCAUACUAAGGAAGGUAUUUCUGCUUGUUGUUAAAAAAAACCUCAUCUUUUCCCAUCUAGGUCACAACUGGAUUUUCUACUUUUGCAUACAGCAUACUUUUUUGUGUUAGAAUUAGACUUAUUUAUGUGGUUUCACAUGGUUCAUUCCUUUAUAUCUGCAAAGUGUUUUGUUUUUCUGUGAGAUGUAUUAUUUUGAAGUUUGGGUUCAGAAACAUAGAGGAAAGAAACAUUAUACCAUAGAGGGAUACAAGACUGAAACAAACACACAAACAAAAAGCUAAAAGUGGAAAGAAAAAAGAUCCCAGAAACCUGUGUUAUAAUCAAGCAUGUACACUCGGGUGUGCUUGGAAGGAGUUUGCAUUUUCUAUAUACACAAAAAAUCCACUUAAUGAAAUCUUAUUUUCUUCAUUAAAAUGACAGAUUAUUUUUAUUCCAGAAAUUCCUCUAAAUUACCUUAUUCUAAGUAAUUGCUCAGUAAGUAUUUGCAUAGAUCAUAGAUCUUAAAGUUUUGUUUAUGACCGCAUUAUCAACAAUGAUUUAAGCCAACUUAUUAUCUUAUGGAUAAUCAAAUUGGGUUAUAAUGGGUGAAAUUAUUUGCUGAUUAUAUCAAUGUGUCUCACCAACUAUUCAAGUAUACAUCAACAAGCUACCAUAUGUUAUGAAAAAUGAAUAAAAAUAAUCUCCCAUAUAUAUGUGAUGUGGUGUGUGUAUGUGUGUAUACAUACAUAUUUAUAUUAGGGAUGGAACUCAGGGGAAAUUUACCACAGAGCUAUGUCCCCAGUCAUUUUAUCUUAAUUUUGAGACAGAAUCUCCCUAAAUUGCUGUGGGCUGUGGAUCUCUCCAAAUUGCUGAGGCUGGCCUCAAACUUGAUAUCCUCCUGCUUCAGUUUUCUGAGUUGCUGGGAUUAUAGGCAUGUGCUACCAUGCCUGGCUAAAAUUAUACUUUAAAAGGAGAAGAAGCAUUUAUUAGUGUUCAUGUUUCUUCAGAGUAUAACUUUUUAAAGUUAAGGGCAGCAAAUUCAGUGAAUUGUCUUUUUAAUG